GGGGAAUUUUCCGCAAUGGGCGCAAGCCUGACGGAGCAAGACCGCGUGAGGGAAGAAGGUCUGUGGAUUGUAAACCUCUUUUGAUAGGGAAGAAGACAGUGACGGUACCUAUCGAAUCAGCCUCGGCUAACUCCGUGCCAGCAGCCGCGGUAAUACGGAGGAGGCAAGCGUUAUCCGGAAUUAUUGGGCGUAAAGAGUCCGUAGGUGGGUAACCAAGUCAGCUGUUAAAUAGUGAAGCUUAACUUCAUAGAGGCGGCUGAAACUGGUUGUCUAGAGUGUGGUAGGGGUAGAGGGAAUUUCCAGUGUAGCGGUGAAAUGCGUAGAUAUUGGAAAGAACACCGGUGGCGAAAGCGCUCUACUGGGCCUGCACUGACACUGAGGGACGAAAGCUAGGGGAGCGAAAGGGAUUAGAUACCCCUGUAGUCCUAGCCGUAAACGAUGGAUACUAGGCGUUGCCCGUAUCGACCCGGGCAGUGUCGUAGCCAACGCGUUAAGUAUCC
rnacentral:rRNA from 1 species